AGUUUGAGCGAUAAAGUCGAGAGCGGAAUGAUCUCGAUGUCCAGCGGAUUUGCAACAAUGUUGCGAAAAUGGAAAGUGACGUCGCACCGCCGAAUGCCCCACCAACUAGAUUCACUUAAUUCAAUAAAAAACGCUCACAUUAGAGCGAAGUGGUUGGCGUUCUGUUCGGAUGUCGACAGUGCAGUUUGAAAACAACAUUCACCGCAGGCGAUCGGAAUCGGAAUCUCGGCUCGACAAUAAUGCCUCGUGGCAUCUGUAAUCUUCAUCGGAUCGUGCUCCUCUGCCUAUGCUUUUUGAUAUUCGGCGAUCUCAUCUACAUAGCCGCCCAAAGAAGCACUGCGGGAAAGACGGAGCGUCGCAACUACACGGGCAAAAAACCCGUGGUCAUCCAGCACCGAUCACAGGAUGCAGUCAACUAUUAUGAUCAUGAAAAUGGCGCCAAGAUCAUAAAGUCUUCGCAUUUCGAAUUGGAUUACACCCUGGGACGCAAGAUCACUUUCUUUUGCAUGGCUCAAGGCAAUCCUCGACCGACCAUUACCUGGUUUAAGGAUGGCGCAGAGCUCUACCAGCACCGAUUCUUUCAGGUACACGAAUCUCAUAUAGAAGCGAAUAUUGUUAAAUCCAAAAUGGAAAUCGAUCCAACCACUCAAAUGGAUGCUGGUUUCUACGAAUGUCAAGCGGACAAUAUCUACGCCAUCGAUCGUCGAGGUUUUCGCACGGACUACGUUAUGGUUAACUUUUGAGAAAAGCCCACUUUUCACCCAUUACGAAACCCUUUUACACAGUAAAGCUGAGAUCUAACUAUAAACUACAAUGCUUUCAAUACAAUUAAAUAAAAAUAUUUAAAAAUACAUUUUUGCGUUUCGGUUUAUGGAAAUUUAAAGUCUAUUUCAAUCCGACCUUUCUGCUUCCUCGUGUGCAUCUAUGUGUGUAUCUUUCCUUAUAACUACUUUCCCUGAAAGCGUGCUAUCGUGCCAUUGCCACUGUAAACUAGACCGAAUCCCAGCAAGACACAUGGAAAGGGGUGCCAUGGCCUACGAUGGUAUAUCGCGAGCGAUAUCAGCAAGCGUCCAAAUCAAAUCUAGCUAGGGAAUUGAGUGAAAUGUGGAAAUGCGGCGAUGAGAAAUGUGAACCCAGUAUAAAAAAGUCCGCGAGCGGCGAAUUUCGAGAGCAAACCAAACGGUUUAAAUCCGCCGGACAAUUGUGGCAAAUUAGAUGAGCUGAGCAGAGUGGUGCAGCGUCUGGGCGAGUGGAUCAGUCACCGAUCAAACGAGAUUCGCACAGCAACGCCAGCAGCAG
rnacentral:misc_RNA from 1 species